rnacentral:ncRNA from 1 species
CUGGUUGAUCCUACCAGUAGCAUAUGCUUGUCUCAAAGAUUAUGCCAUGCAAGUCUGAAAUCACAUGACCAGUACAUUGAAACUGCUAAUGGCUCAUCAGUUAUGGACCCUUUCAUCACUCCAACGUUAACUGUGGCAAUUCUAGAGCUUAUACAUGCCAAAGAACAUUGACCUUCGAUGAUGCGUGCAUUUAUCAAACCCAAAACCCUUGUGGGGUCGUCUUGGGUGCACCCAAAAUUGUUUGUGACUCUAAAUAACCUCAAGCUGAUUGCAUUCCUUUCGUGGCAUCCCUAUCAACUUUCGAUGCUAAUUCUGUGAUACUGUGGUGACCACAGGAAAUGGGGAAUCAUGGUUCGAUUCCAGAGAGUAAGCCUGAGAAAUGGCUACAAUACCCAAGGAUUAAGGUAGCAGGCGUGCAAAUUACCCACGGCCGACUCGGGGAAGUAUACUAAAAAUAACAAAACAGCACUCUCGAGGCUCUGUAAUUGGAGUGAGUACACUUUAAAAUAUUUAACGAGGAUCCAUUUCUAAUGUUUAGAAGUUGCCUUUUACAGUGGUCAGAAACUUCUGAAAGUAUCAUUAUGUU